ACCAUUCAAUGACCAUUGUUAGAUCUAUUUGAUGUAUAUAAUUCUUUAUUUGUGUAUUCUGGCUAAAUUUCCAGUAAAUGUGAAAAACACACUGAUUCAUUGUUUAUUAUAUUGUUUUCAUUUUCACAGCCAAAACCAGCAUUAUUUAUGACCCAUUUACGAGGAGCGUUUGAAAAGUACAGUGGCGGGUUAUCCAUACCUCAGUCAUUCUCCAAGAAGUGACUACGUAAUUAAAGUACUCUCUACCUGACUGUACACACUUUUCCAGACGCAAAAGCCACUCAGAAAAUGCAUUUUCGAGAGCGCUCUUUAGGCAUACUGUUUAUACACUGGUACAGAGCGCUUCCAACUGCGCUGUGCGUCUCAAAGCAACACCCUUUAAGAAUGAUUUAAUGCAUGGGUUCAACCAAAAGUCACAAGAGGAGAGAUCAGGGCUAUAUGGCGUGUGUGUGAUGCGUGGUUUCAUCGAGAGUGCCAAGAUAUAUCUCAGUCUGACUUCAAACAAUGGAGCAAUGUUGACGGUGAAUUCAUUUGCCAAGAAUGCCGUCAGUCCGACGGGGAGUUCUACUUCCUGAGAGGGAUUACACGUCUAGAAAAGGCGUCCAAAGGUGGUAUUGAAGCCCUCAGGAAAGCUGUACUCAGGGAAUCCCUUCUUCUGGGUGACGAUAGGUAUUUAUGCGUAACACAAACACCAGAUGUCAGCCUCAAUAAAGAUGACGUAGCUUCAAACCUACUUGAGCUGUACCACCAGAUGCAAGGAACGCCUAUCAUACUAUCGUACUUUCUUCAUAUUUCAUACUGAUAUAUUGUACCUACCGACAUUUCUUAUUCAUAUUUCAAGAAAAUAAUUUAUCUGAACAAAUGCUACCUUUACUUGUUCAGUGCGUAUAGGUAUAGUGAAAACUGUAUUACAGAUAAUGUACUGUUUAACAAUUAUUGUUACUGUCUUCGUAUUUCAUAUUGAUGUUUUGCAAAUUGUUAACUGUGUUUAUAUAACAUAUACAUAUUUCACAUUUCAUUAUGAAGAAUAUUGUACCGACAUUUCUUAUUCAUAUUUCAAGAAAAUAACGUAUCUGAACAAUUGCUAUCUUUACUCGUUAUGUGCGUAUUUGUAUAGUGUAAACUGUAUAACAGACUGACAAAUGUAUUGUUUAACUAUCAUUGGUACUGUGCUUAUAUUUCAUAUUGAUAUUUUGAAAA
rnacentral:lncRNA from 1 species